rnacentral:rRNA from 1 species
GAUGAACGCUGGCGGCGUGCCUAACACAUGCAAGUCGUACGGUAAGGCGCUUUCGUGGGUCCACGGGCGGCGGACGGGCGAGUGAGAAGUAAGUAAGCAGCCCUCAACUAUGGGAUAGCGCUAGGAAACAGGCGCGAAUACUGGAUAUGUCGAUCUGCUGCAUGGAGGGGGUUGGAUAGCUCCGGCGGGCGUGGAUGGACUCGCGGGUUAUUUGCGCGUUGGUGGGGUAGUGGCUUACAAAGGCGGCGCGGGCUAGCCGGGCCGAGAGGGUGACCGGCGCCACUGGGACUGAGACACGGCCCUGAGUCCUACGGGAGGCAGAAGUGGGUAAUUGUGGACACUGGGCGAAAGCCUGAUCCAGCAACGCCGCGCGUGUGCAGCAGGGCCUCGGGUUGUAAGACGCUCUUCGGCGGGUAGAACGCUUUCAGCAGGAAACAGGCUUUGUAUGACGGUACCUGCAGAAGAAGCACCGGCUAACUACGUG